CCUACGGGUGGCAGCAGUGAGGAAUAUUGGUCAAUGGGCGCGAGCCUGAACCAGCCAAGUAGCGUGAAGGAUGACUGCCCUACGGGUUGUAAACUUCUUUUAUCGAGGAAUAAAGUGCGGCACGUGUGCCUUUUUGUAUGUACUUUAUGAAUAAGGAUCGGCUAACUCCGUGCCAGCAGCCGCGGUAAUACGGAGGAUCCGAGCGUUAUCCGGAUUUAUUGGGUUUAAAGGGAGCGUAGAUGGGUCGUUAAGUCAGUUGUGAAAGUUUGGGGCUCAACCGUAAAAGGGCAGUUGAAACUGGCAGUCUUGAGUAAAGUUGAAGUAGGCGGAAUGCGUGGUGUAGCGGUGAAAUGCUUAGAUAUCACGAAGAACUCCGAUUGCGAAGGCAGCUUAC
rnacentral:rRNA from 1 species